CCUUCGAUAGCUCAACUGGUAGAGCGGAGGACUGUAGAAGCUUGCUUGAGUCAUCCUUAGGUCGCUGGUUCGAUUCCGGCUCGAAGGA
rnacentral:tRNA from 1 species